UACAGAGGUCCCGAGCGUUGUUCGGAUUCACUGGGCGUAAAGGGCGCGUAGGUGGCUUUGAAAGUUUGAUGUGAAAUCUCCGGGCUUAACCCGGAAAAUGCAUUGAAUACUCCAGAGCUGGAGGGUUGGAGGGGGGACUGGAAUUCUCGGUGUAGCAGUGAAAUGCGUAGAUAUCGAGAGGAACACCAGUGGCGAAGGCGAGUCUCUGGACAUUUCCUGACGCUGAGGCACGAAAGCCAAGGGAGCAAACAGG
rnacentral:rRNA from 1 species